GGUGAACGCUGGCGGUAGGCCUAACACAUGCAAGUCGAACGGCAGCACAGUAAGAGCUUGCUCUUACGGGUGGCGAGUGGCGGACGGGUGAGGAAUACAUCGGAAUCUACUUUUUCGUGGGGGAUAACGUAGGGAAACUUACGCUAAUACCGCAUACGACCUACGGGUGAAAGCAGGGGAUCUUCGGACCUUGCGCGAUUGAAUGAGCCGAUGUCGGAUUAGCUAGUUGGCGGGGUAAAGGCCCACCAAGGCGACGAUCCGUAGCUGGUCUGAGAGGAUGAUCAGCCACACUGGAACUGAGACACGGUCCAGACUCCUACGGGAGGCAGCAGUGGGGAAUAUUCGACAAUGGGCGCAAGCCUGAUCCAGCCAUACCGCGUGGGUGAAGAAGGCCUUCGGGUUGUAAAGCCCUUUUGUUGGGAAAGAAAAGCAGCAGGUUAAUACCCCGCUGUUCUGACGGUACCCAAAGAAUAAGCACCGGCUAACUUCGUG
rnacentral:rRNA from 1 species